rnacentral:rRNA from 1 species
GACGAACCGUUCGACCGUUAUUCGGAAUUACUGGGCGUAAAGCGUGCGCAGGCGGUUAUGUAAGACAGUUGUGAAAUCCCCGGGCUCAACCUGGGAACUGCAUCUGUGACUGCAUAGCUAGAGUACGGUAGAGGGGGAUGGAAUUCCGCGUGUAGCAGUGAAAUGCGUAGAUAUGCGGAGGAACACCGAUGGCGAAGGCAAUCCCCUGGACCUGUACUGACGCUCAUGCACGAAAGCGUGGGGAGCAAACAGG